rnacentral:rRNA from 1 species
CCUACGGGAGGCAGCAGUGGGGAAUAUUGGACAAUGGGCGCAAGCCUGAUCCAGCCAUGCCGCGUGAGUGAUGAAGGCCUUAGGGUUGUAAAGCUCUUUUGUACGGGAAGAUAAUGACGGUACCGUAAGAAUAAGCCCCGGCUAACUUCGUGCCAGCAGCCGCGGUAAUACGAAGGGGGCUAGCGUUGCUCGGAAUCACUGGGCGUAAAGGGUGCGUAGGCGGGUUUUUAAGUCAGAGGUGAAAUCCUGGAGCUCAACUCCAGAACUGCCUUUGAUACUGAAAGUCUUGAGUAUGGGAGAGGUGAGUGGAACUGCGAGUGUAGAGGUGAAAUUCGUAGAUAUUCGCAAGAACACCAGUGGCGAAGGCGGCUCACUGGCCCAUUACUGACGCUGAGGCACGAAGGCGUGGGGAGCAAACAGGAUUAGACUACCCGUGGUACGUCCACGCCGUAAACGAUGAAUCGCCACGCGUUACGUAGGUUUACGUUACUACUAGUGGCGCGAGCGUAACGUACGUUAACGUACUACUUCCGUCCGUCGGGUAGGUACGGUCGCGAAGAUUAAACUACAACGAAGUAGACGGCGUGAGACGUGCCGAACGGACGACGACGAGGGAGUAGG